GAAGUGGUUAGUUUCAUAACCCCAAGUUGCAAACUGGACCCUCCACUUGCACCCAGACUCAUUAACAGAUCCAAGAGCAGCCCGAAUUUACAGUGGAAAAAUGAUAAUCGUCCCAAAAUAAACAGCUUCCUUUUGGAAUUGGAUGAAAAAGGCAAAGGUGAAGACUUCGAAAGUUGCUAUGUGAGUACCAUGAAACAGCACAAGAUCCUUGAACUGAGUAUUUCUACAAAAUACUCAUUCAGAUUAGCUACCAAAAACAACUUUGGCUUGAAGUAUAUUUAAAUAUUUACAAUAUUUGUCUAUACUUCAAUAAGAAUCUGAGACUAAUUUUCCAUCUUAAUCUAUUUUUCAGUGAUUUCAGUCAAAUAGCAGUCUUCCAUACAUCAGGAACUAUGCCUCCAACACCUCCCCUCCUAAGCUAAAAGAAGCAGGAAUCUGUUAUUUGUCACUAGACUGGUGUGCCCCAACAGAAACCCAAAUGACACUCCUACUUAUGUACUAGAAAUGGAGGAAGCAGGAUCUGGUUUAGAUUUUAAGCCGAAAUACAAUGGAGAAGAGUUCUCAUGCACUAUAAGAAGUCUUCAGAGAAGUACUACAUACAAGUUUAAACAGAUCUUUGCCUGCAAUAUGGAAGGAAGAAGCAACCCCAGUGGAAAAGUAAAAUAUACAACCUGUCCAGAUAAAACCGGAUGCCCUAGAAAACCAUAUAUAAAGGGAAAGGUCCAUGCACACAGUGUAAAAAUUGGAUGGGAACCAUCCAAAGAUAAUGGUGGAAGAUACAUUCCAAGUUACAGUUUAGAAGUUAGUGAAAAUUCAGAUGGUUUUACAGUGGCAACAAAAGGGAAUUUCUAUAUAAUCACCUGCAACCUGGUACUGCAUAGAAACUGAGAGUCUUUCACAUCUCACUUAUAGGCCAGACAUCAGAUAUAUUGACUAUUCAAACACCUACUCUUUCUCCUGCAUCUUGCUGUCCUCCACCCUUGAAUGGUAAGACAAAGUCCAGAGAAACCAGUCUCCAAUGUGGUACACCUGUACUAGCCUGAAAGGGUCCAAAGUGUGUUGUUGUUAGUUGGGGAGUAUUUCAGAUUCCUGUGUGCAAUGGUGCUGAAAUCACUGAUUACAGGCUAGAGUGGGGACAAAUUGAAAAAUCAGUGCACUUGAUUUACACACGCCCUUGCUUGAGCUAUGAAGUUAAAGGUCUCAUUCCUGCAACUACAUAUUUUUGCAGAGUCCAG
rnacentral:sRNA from 1 species